rnacentral:rRNA from 1 species
GAAAGAACCACCGGGAUUGCCUCAGUAACGGCGAGUGAAGCGGCAAGAGCUCAAAUUUGAAAGCUGGCYCCUUCGGGGUCCGCGUUGUAAUUUGCAGAGGAUGCUUUGGGUGCGGCCCCCGUCUAAGUGCCCUGGAACGGGCCGUCAGAGAGGGUGAGAAUCCCGUCUUGGGCGGGGUGYCCGUGCCCGUGUGAAGCUCCUUCGACGAGUCGAGUUGUUUGGGAAUGCAGCUCUAAAUGGGUGGUAAAUUUCAUCUAAAGCUAAAUACCGGCCGGAGACCGAUAGCGCACAAGUAGAGUGAUCGAAAGAUGAAAAGCACUUUGAAAAGAGAGUUAAACAGCACGUGAAAUUGUUGAAAGGGAAGCGCUUGCGACCAGACUCGCCCCCGGGGUUCAGCCGGCAUUCGUGCCGGUGUACUUCCCCGGGGGCGGGCCAGCGUCGGUUUGGGCGGCCGGUCAAAGGCCCCUGGAAUGUAUUACCCUCCGGGGUUCUCUUUUACCCUGGGUUCCAUUCCGCCAACCCGGAACGAAGAAAGCCCCUUCGCCCGGAACGUUGGCUUAUGGGUCUCAACCACCCC